rnacentral:rRNA from 1 species
AUGCUGGGGUUCAUUUAUUCCUGGCCCCUCGACUUUCUCCCGAGGAAAGCCCCCUCCCCGCGCUUCAUCUCCACCAGGAAAUUCGGUGCAGACAUUCCCAACAACCGCGGGGGUAACUAUAAAUACCCUACGUGGGACUGCCGCCAUGGUCGCGUUCUACUUCGGGAUAAUUGGGCGCCAACGCACCUUGUUGUUUGGGAUCCCAUGACGGGUCGCCAAAGAAAGCUAAAAGUGCCCACGUCGAUGGGCUACGUCGAUGGGGCCACUGCAUUCUUUUGUGCAGCGAGCGGUUGUGACCAUCGCGCGUGUCAUGCAGGGCCCUUCCAAGUGGUAUUCUUGGGCCUUGACAUGACAGAUGAUGACAAUUGUGUUGCACACGCACGUGUGUCCGCGCCGGUGACAGGUGACUGGAGCAAGUCAUGCUCUGAUUUUGAGUGGAGCGAUAUGUGCUCUAGUCUACAACUUUCACCUGAUGCAUUAAUCGACUCAAUGCCCUCCAUCCUUGUUGAAAACGCACUUCACUUCAUGCUUACACACGAUGCUGAUGAUAGUGUAGAAAUUCUCAAAUAUGACUUGAGCUCUAAUUGCUUAUGGCUGAUUGAUGCGCCAUUGUCCGGGGCUAUCAUUAGCGGUUCCACUAUCCUCAUGGCGAUGGAGGAUGGCAGUUUGGGUUUUGCGCAUGUGGACAAGGUAACCCUCAACAUAUGGUCAAGACAAUUGGAUGCUAAUGGAAUUGCGUCAUGGACUAUGUGUAGAGUCGUCGAACUCAUGAACCUUAUCCCUAUUCAAAAUCCAACCAAAAGGCUUAAACUGAUUGGAUCUGUGGAGGGCAGUGAUACCAUUUUCAUAACUGCGGACCUUGGCAUCUAUGAGGUUAAUAUCAGGACACUGCAAUGGAAGAAGCUAUGGAAGAGAGAGAAAUUCCGUUAUUUGAUACCAUACAUGAGUUUCUACAAUCCACCAGAAUGGCUGAGACCUUGUGAUGUGGCGCAUUGA